UGAGCCUCUUCCCUGGUCUGGGCCGCCUCCAAUCGACGCCAUGAAGGGCUCCGACCCCGAGAUCGAUUCCGUCCGUCGCCUCCUCGAGUCGUCCACUGGCGCUCCAUCACGGUGCCCAGCCUCUGCAACUGCGGCCUGAUGAAAGUUGAAGAUGCUAUCCAUAGAGGCAUAACUGUUCCCAAUUAAGGAAGCCAAAUAUCCUGGAGAAACUUUACCGAGUUUGGAUGGAACAGAUGAGUGAUGAGAAGUUAGAGCACUUUAUUUUGUACAUUUUUUUUGUGAAUUUUACUGGAUGUAUUCACAUGUGUCCCGAUGUAUAAUUGCAAAGCUAAUAAAUAGUAUAUGGACGUGAUGGAUGGGUUACGUCAAUUGUUUUUUUU